rnacentral:rRNA from 1 species
UGGGGAAUAUUGGACAAUGGGCGAAAGCCUGAUCCAGCCAUGCCGCGUGUGUGAAGAAGGUCUUCGGAUUGUAAAGCACUUUAAGUUGGGAGGAAGGGCAGUAAGCGAAUACCUUGCUGUUUUGACGUUACCGACAGAAUAAGCACCGGCUAACUCUGUGCCAGCAGCCGCGGUAAUACAGAGGGUGCAAGCGUUAAUCGGAAUUACUGGGCGUAAAGCGCGCGUAGGUGGUUCGUUAAGUUGAAUGUGAAAGCCCCGGGCUCAACCUGGGAACUGCAUCCAAAACUGGCGAGCUAGAGUAGGGCAGAGGGUGGUGGAAUUUCCUGUGUAGCGGUGAAAUGCGUAGAUAUAGGAAGGAACACCAGUGGCGAACGCGACCACCUGGGCUCAUACUGACACUGAGGUGCGAAAGCGUGGGGAGCAAACAGG